GAUGGGAUGCAAGAAAAAGACUGGCUUUCUCUAGUUGCUGUUCACAGUGAUGCAUGGCUACUUGCUGUGGCUUUCUAUUUUGGUGCUAGAUUUGGGUUUGAUAAAGCUGACAGGAAACGUCUUUUCACUAUGAUAAAUGAUCUCCCGACGAUAUUUGAGGUUGUGACUGGGACUGUAAAGAAACAGUUGAAGGAGAAGUCAUCAGUCUCAAAUCAUAGCAGCAACAAGUCCAAGUCUGGCUUGAAAGGGCAAGGAUCUGACACUGGCAAAUAUGUGAAGGGGCAGCCAAAGGAUGAUGAUGAAGGACUGGUUGAAGAAGAUGAAGAAGAGCACGGGGAUACCCUAUGUGGGGCAUGUGGAGAGAACUAUGCUGC
rnacentral:misc_RNA from 1 species